AAGACUUCAUCUUAUAAAUAAAGAAAAUAAAUAAAGAAAAAGAAAAUAAAGAAAAAAUGCUUAAAUGAAUAAAAGCCAGGUGUCUAAAAGGAAACUUUAAGCUCUAGGUUAUUAAGGUAAUCCAUCUGUGUGAACAAGUGUUUGCAUUGUUGGAUGAUGUGUACCAAAUAUACUAGAUAACUAUGAGAUUAUUAAUUAUGGAUUAACUCUUCCAUCAAGAGACUUUUUGGCUUUUGGUAUUAAGUGAAUUGGUAUUACACAAGAGCCAUAACAAACAUGAUCACAGAAAAUAGAUUAGACACAGUUUCUGGUAUUUGGAAACUUAUAUACUCCAGUGUCUCUAAAGAAAAUACUUAACAAGUAAGACUUAACCUCUGCAAAAGAUGAGUGAUUUUUUAAAAAAAUUUUAACAAAGUAUGGGGUGUUUAUGGUGUAAUUUGGAUUCUGAAACCAGAGGUUUUAAAAAUACUUUUAAAAACUGGGUAUUUCCGUUUUCUAGACUAGUCAGUAGUGUUUAAAAAAUGGUUAAACUAGACAAAAGAGCAAUGCCUCCAGGAAAAUUGGUGACCUGGUAUGUUGCCACAACUGAAUCUAUUUUCCUUCCUCAAAGACCCAGAUUGAUCACUACGUUGGCAUCGCCCGAGAUCAGACCAAGUCAAUUGUUGAAAAGAUCCAAGCAAAACUCCCCGGAAUCGCCAAAAAAAAGGCAGAAUAAGCACAUGGAAACCAGAAAUGCAACAGUUA